UAGGGUUUGACUCCGGAGAGGCAGCCUGAGAGACGGCUACCAGUUCUAAGGAACGCAGCAGGCGCGCAAAUUACACAAUGACAGUAAACUGUUGAUGUAGUGACAAGAGGUAACGGGGCGGUCCUCUAUGAGGCCCGUCAUUGUAUUGAGUAAAACUCAAAAUAUUUAACGAAACCAAUUGGAGGGCAAGUCUGGUGCCAGCAGCCGCGGUAAUUCCAGCUCCAAAAGCAUAUAUUAAAGUUGUUGCGGUUAAAAAGCUCGUAGUUGGAUCCAUGACCUCGGAGGGCGGUCCCCCACUGGGUGCGUACUGCUGCUCCGAGUCCUAUCUGUCAGUUUGUCUGUGUUGCCUUUAAUCGGGUGGCACAGGUGACUGACGUGUUUACUUUGAAAAAAUUAGAGUGUUUAAAGCAGGCGUUGAAUGCCUGAAUAGUGGUGCAUGGAAUAAUGGAAUAGGAUCUCGGUUCUAUUUUGUUGGUUCAAGAGCAUGAGAAAAUGAUUAAGAGGGACAGACGGGGGCAUUUGUAUUGCUGCGUUAGAGGUGAAAUUCUUGGAUCGUAGCAAGACAAACUACUGCGAAGGCAUUUGCCAAGAAUGUUUUCAUUAAUCAAGAACGAAAGUUAGAGGUUCGAAGGCGAUCAGAUACCGCCCUAGUUCUAACCGUAAACCAUGUCGACUAGCUAUCUGUCAGCGUUAAUAAUGACCUGACAGGCAGCUUACCGGAAACGAAAGUUUCUCGAUUCCGGGGGUAGUAUGGUUGCAAAGCUGAAACUUAAAGGAAUUGACGGAAGGGCACCACCAGGAGUGGAGCCUGCGGCUUAAUUUGACCCAACACGGGAAAACUCACCCGGCCCGGACACCGUAAGGAUUGACAGAUUAAUAGCUCUUUCUCGAUUUGGUGAUUGGUGGUGCAUGGCCGUUCUUAGUUGGUGGAGCGAUUUGUCUGGUUAAUUCCGAUAACGAACGAGAUUCUAACUUACUAACUAGUUCCACGAUCCCUGUGGUCCUAAAUACUUCUUAGAGGGAAAACCGGCAUUUAGUCGAACGAGAUUGAGCAAUAACAGGUCUGUGAUGCCCUUAGAUGUCCGGGGCUGCACGCGUGCUACACUGAAGGAAUCAGCGUGUUUUUCCCUUGCCUGUAAUGGCUGGGUAACCGACUGAAUCUCCUUCGUGUUAGGGAUAGAUCAUUGAAACUAGUGAUCUUCAACUUGGAAUUCCUGGUACGUUUGAGUCAUAAGCUCAAGCAGAUUACGUCCCUGCCCUUUGUACACACCGCCCGUCGCUACUACCGACUGGCAAUAUCUUUGAGACACUUGGAGCGGCCGUGAGCUACCCUAACCGGUAACUCACGGCUGCGAAAAGGUUCGAAAAGGUUUUGCUGGAGGAAGUAAAAGUCGUAACAAGGUU
rnacentral:rRNA from 1 species